rnacentral:misc_RNA from 1 species
GUGAAUCAUCAAAUCUUUGAACGCAAAUUGCGCCUCUUUCGGAAGGCAUGACUGUUUGAGUGCACCAUUUAACAAAUAUUGUGCAGCGAGUCUUGUUGCACACGUUGAUGAUCUUUUCUAGAAUUGUAAAUCUUUGGUGGCGCAUAAUGAACAGCGUGAAAGUUUUUUUCAGUUCGAGUGUAGUAAAAUCUUUCCUUGGGUCGUGAAAAGUGUAAUCGCGCAAUGGGUGUGGCAAUUUGUUAUUAUCCCUGCCUG